GACGAACGCUGGCGGCGUGCUUAACACAUGCAAGUCGAACGGUAAGGCCCUUCGGGGUACACGAGUGGCGAACGGGUGAGUAACACGUGGGUGAUCUGCCCUGCACUUCGGGAUAAGCCUGGGAAACUGGGUCUAAUACCGGAUAGGACCACUGCCUGCAUGGGUGGUGGUGGAAAGCUUUUGCGGUGUGGGAUGGGCCCGCGGCCUAUCAGCUUGUUGGUGGGGUGAUGGCCUACCAAGGCGACGACGGGUAGCCGGCCUGAGGGGGUGACCGGCCACACUGGGACUGGGAUACGGCCCAGACGCCUACGGGAGGCAGCAGUGGGGAAUAUUGCACAAUGGGCGCAAGCCUGAGGCAGCGACGCCGCGUGAGGGAUGACGGCCUUCGGGUUGUAAACCUCUUUCAGCACCGACGAAGCGCAAGUGACGGUAGGUGCAGAAGAAGGACCGGCCAACUACGUGCCAGCCGCCGCGGUAA
rnacentral:rRNA from 1 species